GGUGAGAUCGACUGACUUCCGGCCAGGCCGUUGUCUGGGUGGCGCGGUCGAGUCAUCGCUGGGCCUCGCAGCUUCGAUCUCCCAUCCCUCCCCCCCGCCCCGGCGCGGGGGGUCGACCAGCCAAGUGGGGUGGGAGGCGACUCGGACCUUCCCCUCCGUUCCGCUCUGGCCAACUCCCUGGCCCCCCUCGCUGGGGUCCCUGGGGCCCGCGAGGCCCGGUCUGAGGGGCCGGGGCCUACGUGGGCCCGCCGCUGGGCCCCAUGAGGCAUAGCCUGACCAAACUGCUGGCGGCCUCGGGCAGCGACUCCCCAACCCGCAGCGAGAGCCCGGCUCCAGCCGCGACCUGCUUGCUGUCCCCGGACCUGACCCGGGCGGCGGCGGCGGCGGCAGCAGCAGCAGCGGCAGAGGAGGAAGAGACGGCGGCGGCCGGAUCUCCCGGCCGCAAACAGCCGUGCGGCGACGAGGGCGAGUUGGAGGCCGGGAGGGGGGGCCGCGGCGGCGUGGCCGUGCGCGCGCCCUCGCCCGAGGAGAUGGAGGAGGAGACGAUCGCCAGCGUCCCGGGAGAGGAGACGGAGGACAUGGACUUUCUGUCCGGGCUGGAACUGGCAGAUCUGCUGGACCCCCGGCAGCCGGACUGGCACCUGGAGCCCGGGCUCAGCUCGCCUGGGCCUCUCUCCUCGUCCGGCGGAGGCUCGGAUAGCGGCGGCCUGUGGAGAGGGGACGACGACGACGAGGCCGCUGCUGCCGAGAUGCAGCGCUUUUCCGACCUGCUGCAGAGGCUAUUAAACGGCAUCGGAGGCUGCAGCAGCGGCAGUGACAGUGGCAGCGGCGAAAAGAGGCGGAGAAAGUCCCCAGGAGGAGGCGGCAGCAGCAGCGGCAACGACAGCAACCAGGCGGCGACAAAGAGUCCCCGGAAGGCGGCGGCGGCUGCUGCCCGUCUUAAUCGGCUGAAGAAGAAGGAGUACGUGAUGGGGCUGGAAAGUCGAGUCCGGGGUCUGGCAGCCGAGAACCAGGAGCUGCGGGCCGAGAAUCGGGAGCUGGGCAAGCGCGUGCAGGCACUGCAGGAGGAGAGUCGCUACCUACGGGCCGUCUUAGCCAACGAGACCGGACUGGCUCGCUUGCUGAGCCGGCUGAGCGGCGUGGGACUGCGGCUGACUACCUCGCUCUUCAGAGACUCGCCCGCCGGUGACCAUGACUACGCUCUGCCCGUGGGAAAGCAGCAGCAGGACCUGCUGGAAGAGGACGACUCAGCGGGAGGAGUGUGUCUUCAUGUGGACAAGGAUAAGGUGUCGGUGGAGUUCUGCUCGGCGUGCGCCCGGAAGGCGUCGUCUUCUCUUAAAAUGUAGGGUCAAGUAAUCUGCUCUUUAUCCGCGUUUACCCCUUUCAACUCCCUUACACCAUGUAAAACACCUUAGUGGGACAUCUUCACUGGACACAUUUCAGAGGAGGAAAAAUUUCUUUUUUAGGUGAUUUCCUUCCUGCCAGGCUCCGUUGUAGGGGUUACAGAACAGUCGUUCCCGCCUCACAACCUGGUAAGGAUCCAUCUCUUCACGUAACGCUCAUGCUCUGCUGCUUAGUCUACUUUAAUGGGCAACAUCUCAAUUUGUGUGCGUGUGGGUUUUUUUUUUUUUCUUUUUUUCUUUUUUCUUUUUUUGAAGGUGGGAGGGGAAAUCUUAUUUGGGCCCUGUCCACCCUGGAAACAGACUUGUGCUGGUCAAUAAUGUAUUUAAGAUGCUUCUUCUGGUUGAAAUAGCUGUUAAUGUGUCCCCUUGUUCAGACUUGCGUGUACCUAGCUCUUCUGUCCCCAGUGUGGACAUGGCCUUGGAUGACAUCGGUUCCAACUGUACACUGAAAGCUGCUAAUAGAGAUACAGUUUGGAGACAGUGAAACAGGUGAAGUUGAAUGGAAGUUCCGAGUUGUACAAGGUGCAAAUUGGAAUUCCAAUUUUAGAGCAACUUUUUAGAGGUUGACAAUAAGUAUUUGGGCUUGCACAAAUGUGAUAGUUAUUUUGCUGGAGAAGACAGAAAUAUCUUAAAAUAUUUGGGUAUGCCUUUUAGUUUUCAGUAGGAGAUCUAGAAAUACAAUCUAGAGUAAAAGAUUUUAAUAUCUCACCAUUAAAGAAGUUGGAAAAUAACAUGCAUCUCUGUUAAUUAAUUGAAGGAGAAUAAGAAUGGUUAAUGAAAUGUUUCUUUGAGGACCAGCACAGUGAUUACCCUAUCACUGACUAUAAAUAAAUUGUUGAACACCUUUACUUUUGUUGUAUUAAAAUUUAGGUUAAAUUUAUGUAUGAUUAGAUAUUGAAGGUUGUGAAAUGUGAAUGAAAACGUGUAAAGUGAGGCUUCACAAAGAAUCUUACUCUCCUUAUUUCAAAGGUUUUUGUCCUAUUUAAAAAUAAUUUUUGAAAUUGAGUGGUUCUGGUUACCUAAGGACACGAUUGACACUUUUUCCAAAGAUGGGACAUAUUCUUCCCUUGAAGUACUGUAUUAUUCAUUGUCCAAUUGUAUAGAUUUAGUGUCCUUCAGUGUAAGAGGCAUUAAGAAAUUCUUUGUGAAACAUCACUGUUUGAUAAAGUAUAUACAUAUUUAGCAUCCUUGUUUUUCUUUGUGCUAAAGUGGAUACAGCUGUUGGGGCAGAAGAGACGGGACCAGCUGCUGGCCACAUAUCCUGCUUUAUUUUAAAAGGUAGUAUAAGAAAUGAGGAAAAAGAGGUAAUAUCAGGGCUUCUGCUGUCUUUUAUUUUAAAAUGUUCAUAAUUAAAAAGUAUUUUCCAGCAGUCCAAAGAUGUAAGUUAUCUUACACAUGUUUUAUUUUGUUGUUAUUUGGUUAUAAAAAUGGAAUCCUUGUUCUUGCACAACUGUAAAUGUUUUGUUGCUAGAUAACACAAUUUGAGACCUAACUUGGUCUCUGGUUUCCAGUGCAUUACAGCAUAUUUUGUAAAAUCACCUACUGCACUUCAGCAUGAAUGGGUAGUAGCCAAAUUCACAACCUGGAGUGAUGAACCUGCUUAUACCUAAGUGCAGGAGCAAGCCCCUCACAAUGCAGCUGCAUGGAUUUUUAGUGCCUACUGAAUUAUAUAUAUAUAUAUAUAUAUAAACCAAAAGUAGUUGGAAAAAUUAUUUGAAAUGACUAAUUUGUGCUAUCUCUAUGGAAUAUGUUAAAUGUAGCUUUUUGAAACAGAAGCCUUGAAUUGAAAUUUAAUUAAUACUUGAAUGAACAUUUUUGUAUAUAUUUCUUUGUAUAUAAUUUUGUGCAGUACCAAUGACAAAAAUAUGGUGUCAUAAUAAAACCAGGUUUGUUGAUCUUUCAGUUAUGGGCUCAAAGAAUUUAUUCAUCUCUAACAUGACAUUGGAAAAUAAUGGAUGAAAAUAGGAAAAAUGAUUGUUGUUAAUGCUGACUGUGGGUCUUAAAAGGUUCUGGAAGCAGUAAGUGUGUUUUUCUAAAACCAUUCCCUUGGAAUAUUUUCUUCUAAUGUCAGUGCUUUUCCUGCAUUAUUUGAAGUUCGGGGCUGGGGAGAAACAGUAGUCAAAGCUUUCUGAAUUGGGAUGCUUUGAAAAUUCCAAGUGUAGAUUUUUAGGAUGUCAUUUUAUAAAUGGCAGUUUUUGGAAUUACUUGAUUAAGAACUUUUGAAAAUGGAGAUUAGUAUUGCCUAUUUUUAAAGCUGCUUUGUUAGGCUCCUUGUUUUAACUGUCUUUUCUUAGUUUCCAUUUCAUUCUUUUUUUUUUUUUUUCCUUUUCUAAUUUUGGUGACUUAGUGAUUUUGUCAUUUUUUACAUCAACUUCAUGGUCUUGUUUUUACAUGGUAUUGCAUGUGUUUAGGACCUAUCUAACGGGGUUUAAAUAAAUUUGAUCAUAUUUAUGUGUAAGCACAUUUUACUGUAAAUGUUUGGGUUUCUGAAUUUACAACAGAUCUGUUUAUUUCAGUAUGUAGUAAACAAUAUCUUAAAGUGUCCUAUUCACUACUUGUUAAUUAAAAAAAGUUAUGAUUAAUAUGAAACUGUUGUCUUACUAUUUUUAGAAAAUUGUGUUCUGAAUGCUUAGUAGUUGGAUAAAGGAGAUUUCUGGAAUAUAUGGAUUGUGUUAAAAUUUUAAGGUUUGGCUCUAUUUACUGUAGAGGUUGAAAACAUCUUAGUAUUUGGGGAACUUUUUUUUUUUCAUCAUCUUCCCUAAUUGCCUCUAUGGCAAAAUGAUACAGAAUUAGUAUAAAGAGGGUAGCUUUUUGAUACUUGUUUUCUGAUGGUGACAGGAAUUCAUACAUUAAUUGAACUAACACACCAUAUUGACCUCCUAUUUCUAUCAUAUUGACUUACUGUUUCUGCACUUUCUUGACCAGUUCUAACUAAAAAGGUACACGUUUGUUAAAAUGUCACACCUCUGAUAUAAUCCGGCAAAAAGUGUUCGAAAUAUUUUAAAUAUUUGUGCAUUUUGUAAUCACUAAAUUAAUCUCUUUCUCUUCUCUUUAAACAGCUUAGCAGUGUCUGCAAAAACGAAUCUUUUCCUACAACCUGUUAACUGACUGGACUGAUGGUAACAAAGUAAUUGUGGGAGCCAUGUCGGUCAAAAAUUUGGCAUCUGCUGAAAAAAAUGAAUGCCAUUUUCAAGUUCCCAAAUUACUUCUAUACUGAUUUCACUUUCCAGAUUUCACUUUCCAGAAAUGGAGAUAUGAAAAGAUUCUCUGGAAUCCUUGAAAGACUUACUAGAAAUACAUGAGACUAAGUUAAUUUUGGAACAAAAUUAUACUUUUUUUUUUUUUUUUUUUUUUGGUCUUUCAUGGGAGUGAUGAUCAGUUCUUUGCACAAUUUAAAAAUUGUAACUAUUGGAGAAGAAAAUUGCAGUAUUUCAUCAAGGAAUAUUAGAUUCUUUACAUAAUCAAGAACACAUUCUAUGGAAUAACAUUCAGUGGUGUAGAAUUACAUAAACAGGCCAUCAGGGAUCACAAAGCAUAUCAUGAGUUUGUAUUUAUUUCCUGGAACUUGAGAGCUAAUCUUCAGUAUAGGCAGACCUUGCUGAGUAGAAUAUAAAAGUUAAUGUAAAGUCCUUAACUAUAAAGAGUAGUCUUUUUAAAAUAGAUGCAUUGAUGUGUCAUGUGUAUCUUUGAAAAAAUUAUGACUGAAUAUGUGAGUAGUUAUUUGCAAUUCAGGGUAAUAGGAUGUUCGCAUUCUGAGGUUUUGGCUUCUUGAGUUUUCUCUGAGUACUUGACACUUUUUUGACUAUUUUGAGGUUUCUAAUGAAUGGUAUCCUAGUUUCUGAUGUUAUAUAUUAAAAUGUCUCCAGUGUUAUGUAAGGGCUUUAGUAUUUUGGAUGAUGGGAGUGUUUUUUUUUCCACAUAAUAUGGUUGUUUUACUUAAUUGAAACAUUUUUCCGGUUUAUUACAAGUGUGAAAAAACA